rnacentral:tRNA from 1 species
GGGUCGGUGUCCGAGCGGCCAAAGGAAGCAGACUGUAAAUCUGCCGGCGUAUGCCUUCGGAGGUUCGAAUCCUCCCCGGCCCA